rnacentral:rRNA from 1 species
UCUUACGAACUCUGGUAUUGAUUGGUGCUUGCAUCAUGAUUUACAUUUGAGUGAGUGGCGAACUGGUGAGUAACACGUGGGAAACCUGCCCAGAAGCGGGGGAUAACACCUGGAAACAGAUGCUAAUACCGCAUAACAACUUGGACCGCAUGGUCCGAGUUUGAAAGAUGGCUUCGGCUAUCACUUUUGGAUGGUCCCGCGGCGUAUUAUCUAUAUGGUGGGGUAACGGCUCACCAUGGCAAUGAUACGUAGCCGACCUGAGAGGGUAAUCGGCCACAUUGGGACUGAGACACGGCCCAAACUCCUACGGGAGGCAGCAGUAGGGAAUCUUCCACAAUGGACGAAAGUCUGAUGGAGCAACGCCGCGUGAGUGAAGAAGGGUUUCGGCUCGUAAAACUCUGUUGUUAAAGAAGAACAUAUCUGAGAGUAACUGUUCAGGUAUUGACGGUAUUUAACCACAAAGCCACGGGCUAACUACGUGCCAGCAGCCGCGGUAAUACGUACGUGAAAAGCGUUGUCCGGAUUUAUUGGGCGUAAAGCGAGCGCAAGCGGUUUUUUAAGUCUGAUGUGAAAGCCUUCGGCUCACCCGAAAAGUGCAUCGAAACUGGGAAACUUGAGUGCAGA